rnacentral:rRNA from 1 species
AACGUAGGUUCCGAGCGUUAUCCGGAUUUACUGGGCGUAAAGCGCGUUCAGGCGGUUUGGCAAGUCGGGCAUGAAAUCUCUCGGCUCAACCGGGAGAGGUUGUCCGAUACUGCUGGACUUGAGGGCAGUAGAGGGUGGUGGAAUUCCGGGUGUGGUGGUGAAAUGCGUAGAUAUCCGGAGGAACACCAGUGGCGAAAGCGGCCACCUGGACUGUACCUGACGCUGACACGCGAAAGCUAGGGGAGCGAACGGG